rnacentral:rRNA from 1 species
AAGCUGUGGAUUGUCCUUUGGACAAUGGUAGGAGAGCGUUCUAAGGGCGUUGAAGCAUGAUCGUAAGGACAUGUGGAGCGCUUAGAAGUGAGAAUGCCGGUGUGAGUAGCGAAAGACGGGUGAGAAUCCCGUCCACCGAUUGACUAAGGUUUCCAGAGGAAGGCUCGUCCGCUCUGGGUUAGUCGGGUCCUAAGCUGAGGCCGACAGGCGUAGGCGAUGGAUAACAGGUUGAUAUUCCUGUACCACCUAUAAUCGUUUUAAUCGAUGGGGGGACGCAGUAGGAUAGGCGAAGCGUGCGAUUGGAUUGCACGUCUAAGCAGUAAGGCUGAGUAUUAGGCAAAUCCGGUACUCGUUAAGGCUGAGCUGUGAUGGGGAGAAGACAUUGUGUCUUCGAGUCGUUGAUUUCACACUGCCGAGAAAAGCCUCUAGAUAGAAAAUAGGUGCCCGUACCGCAAACCGACACAGGUAGUCAAGAUGAGAAUUCUAAGGUGAGCGAGCGAACUCUCGUUAAGGAACUCGGCAAAAUGACCCCGUAACUUCGGGAGAAGGGGUGCUCUUUAGGGUUAACGCCCAGAAGAGCCGCAGUGAAUAGGCCCAAGCGACUGUUUAUCAAAAACACAGGUCUCUGCUAAACCGUAAGGUGAUGUAUAGGGGCUGACGCCUGCCCGGUGCUGGAAGGUUAAGAGGAGUGGUUAGCUUCUGCGAAGCUACGAAUCGAAGCCCCAGUAAACGGCGGCCGUAACUAUAACGGUCCUAAGGUAGCGAAAUUCCUUGUCGGGUAAGUUCCGACCCGCACGAAAGGCGUAACGAUUUGGGCACUGUCUCAACGAGAGACUCGGUGAAAUCAUAGUACCUGUGAAGAUGCAGGUUACCCGCGACAGGACGGAAAGACCCCGUGGAGCUUUACUGUAGCCUGAUAUUGAAAUUCGGCACAGCUUGUACAGGAUAGGUAGGAGCCUUUGAAACGUGAGCGCUAGCUUACGUGGAGGCGCUGGUGGGAUACUACCCUAGCUGUGUUGGCUUUCUAACCCGCACCACUUAUCGUGGUGGGAGACAGUGUCAGGCGGGCAGUUUGACUGGGGCGGUCGCCUCCUAAAAGGUAACGGAGGCGCUCAAAGGUUCCCUCAGAAUGGUUGGAAAUCAUUCAUAGAGUGUAAAGGCAUAAGGGAGCUUGACUGCGAGACCUACAAGUCGAGCAGGGUCGAAAGACGGACUUAGUGAUCCGGUGGUUCCGCAUGGAAGGGCCAUCGCUCAACGGAUAAAAGCUACCCCGGGGAUAACAGGCUUAUCUCCCCCAAGAGUUCACAUCGACGGGGAGGUUUGGCACCUCGAUGUCGGCUCAUCGCAUCCUGGGGCUGUAGUCGGUCCCAAGGGUUGGGCUGUUCGCCCAUUAAAGCGGUACGCGAGCUGGGUUCAGAACGUCGUGAGACAGUUCGGUCCCUAUCCGUCGUGGGCGUAGGAAAUUUGAGAGGAGCUGUCCUUAGUACGAGAGGACCGGGAUGGACAUACCUCUGGUGUACCAGUUGUCGUGCCAACGGCAUAGCUGGGUAGCUAUGUGUGGACGGGAUAAGUGCUGAAAGCAUCUAAGCAUGAAGCCCCCCUCAAGAUGAGAUUUCCCAACUUCGGUUAUAAGAUCCCUCAAAGAUGAUGAGGUUAAUAGGUUCGAGGUGGAAGCAUGGUGACAUGUGGAGCUGACGAAUACUAAUCGAUCGAAGACUUAAUCAA